AACUAAAAGCUUACACUUAAUUGUCUUUCCCUCUCCUCCCUCCCGACGGAGCCAAACCUCUCUUCCUCCCAAAUUCAUCAUUCCUCUCUCUCUCCAAACCAAAACCCUAAUACUACGUUUCUCUAUAAAUUAAUCAAAUCUCAAUCAUUAACCCUAAUCGGAGGAGAAGAUGGUGAAGGUGCGCAUGAACACCGCCGAUGUGGCCGCCGAGGUCAAAUGCCUCCGACGCCUAAUCGGAAUGCGAUGCUCCAACGUCUACGAUCUCUCUCCAAAGACGUAUGUGUUCAAGCUGAUGAACAGCAGUGGCGUUUCGGAAUCCGGCGAGAGCGAGAAGGUUCUGCUGCUCAUGGAAAGUGGCGUUAGAUUGCACUCUACUAUCUACAUGCGUGACAAGAGCAACACCCCUUCGGGUUUCACUCUCAAAUUGAGGAAGCACAUUCGGACCAGAAGGCUCGAGGAUGUGCGCCAACUUGGGUACGAUCGGAUUAUUCUCUUCCAAUUUGGACUUGGGGAGAAUGCAAACUAUGUUAUAUUGGAGCUGUAUGCUCAGGGGAACAUCCUCCUCACAGAUUCUAGUUUCACAGUCAUGACUCUACUGCGAUCUCACAGGGAUGAUGAUAAAGGGCUUGCAAUCAUGUCACGCCAUCGUUAUCCUGUGGAAAGUUGUCGAGUUUUUGAGCAAACUACUAUUGAAAAGUUGCAGACAGCCCUAGUGUCUUCGAAGGAAGAUGAUAACGAGGAGGCUGUUAAGGCCAAUGGAAAUGGAAGUAAUGCUUCAUAUGUAGGUAAAGAGAAGCAGGGAAACCAGAAAGGUGGGAAGUCAGCCACAUUGAAAAUUGUCCUUGGGGAGGCACUUGGUUAUGGACCUGCUCUUUCUGAACAUAUAAUAUUAGAUGCUGGCCUAAUCCCCAGUACAAAAGUCCCCAAAGAUAGAACGUGGGAUGAUGCAACUGUUCAGGCCUUGGUCCAAGCUGUUGCAAAGUUUGAAGAUUGGAUGCAGGAUAUUAUUUCAGGUGAAACAGUCCCUGAAGGAUACAUUUUGAUGCAGAACAAAAAUUUGGGGAAGGAAUCUUCCAUAUCUCAAUCAGGAAGUGUUAGCCAGAUGUAUGAUGAGUUCUGCCCCAUCCUGCUCAACCAGUUUAAGUCAAGGGAUUAUACAAAGUUUGAGACAUUUGAUGCAGCCUUGGAUGAGUUCUAUAGCAAAAUCGAGAGUCAAAGGUCUGAACAACAGCAGAAAGCCAAAGAAAACUCAGCUGCUCAGAAACUUAAUAAGAUUCGCCAGGAUCAGGAAAAUCGAGUACAUGCUUUGAGGAAAGAAGCUGAUCACUGUGUUAAGAUGGCAGAAUUGAUAGAAUACAACUUGGAAGAUGUGGAUGCUGCUAUAUUAGCUGUCCGCGUAGCUCUUGCAAAGGGUAUGAACUGGGAUGACCUUGCUCGGAUGGUGAAGGAAGAAAAGAAAGCUGGAAACCCAGUAGCUGGUCUCAUUGACAAACUCCAUCUUGAUAGGAACUGCAUGACUUUACUGUUAAGCAACAAUCUUGAUGAAAUGGAUGAUGAUGAGAAGACACUCCCUGUAGAUAAGGUUGAAGUUGAUUUAGCUCUCUCAGCACAUGCCAAUGCUCGGAGGUGGUAUGAACAGAAGAAAAAGCAGGAGAGCAAACAGGAAAAGACUGUAACUGCCCAUGAAAAGGCUUUUAAAGCUGCAGAGAGAAAGACUCGCCUACAGCUUAGUCAGGAAAAAACUGUUGCCUCAAUUUCACAUAUGCGCAAAGUUCACUGGUUUGAGAAAUUUAAUUGGUUCAUUAGCAGUGAGAAUUAUUUGGUUAUCAGUGGACGUGAUGCACAGCAAAAUGAGCUGAUAGUGAAGCGUUAUAUGUCAAAAGGAGAUCUGUAUGUACAUGCCGAUCUACAUGGAGCUUCUAGUACAGUUAUCAAGAAUCACAAGCCUGUGCAACCAGUUCCACCGCUGACCCUGAAUCAAGCAGGGUGUUUCACAGUCUGCCAUAGCCAGGCAUGGGAUUCAAAAAUUGUUACUAGUGCCUGGUGGGUCUAUCCUCAUCAGGUUAGUAAAACUGCUCCGACAGGUGAAUAUCUGACAGUAGGGAGUUUCAUGAUCCGGGGAAAGAAAAAUUUUCUUCCACCACACCCUCUUAUCAUGGGUUUUGGCCUACUAUUUCGCUUGGAUGAGAGUUCCUUGGGUUCACAUUUAAAUGAAAGAAGAGUAAGAGGAGAGGAGGAAGCAGCAGAAGAUGACUAUGACGAAACUGGCCCUCUUGAAGACAAAUCUGAUUCAGAGUCUGAGAAGGAUGUUGCUGAUGUAAAAUCUGCUACAGAAUCAGAAAGGAACGGUAAUUUAUUGGCAGAUUCACACAAACCCCUAUCAGAAGACUUUCCUGCAGACUCAUCUCAAACUAGUUUGGCUACUAUAAAUGCCGAAACUGCAAUUUCACAGGAUUUUCCUGCAAAAGAGACAAGUAAGUCAAAGAUGGUUGAUAGGGAGAUAUUAUCAGACAUUGGUGAAAAUGGCAUAGCGUCUGUCACCCAACUUGAGGAACUUAUUGAUCAAGCUCUGGAACUUGGAUCUGUUGCUAAAUCCAGUAAAAGUUAUGGAAAUGAGAACUCUCAAAUUGAUUUAGGCAGUGAGCAACAUUUUGAUCAAAGCAAAGCUGCAGUAAGGGAAAAACCUUAUAUAUCAAAAGCUGAGAGACGAAAACUUAAAAAAGAACAGAAACAUGGAGAAGCAGAUUCAAAUGUUCAACAUGGAAAGAAUGAAUCAAAACUAAAAGAUAUUUCUGCUAACAUACCUGCAAAAGAAGAUCAAAAUUUGAAAAAAGCUGGUGGUCAAAAAACCAGUCGUGGACAGAAGGGCAAACUUAAGAAGAUAAAGGAGAAGUAUGCUGACCAGGAUGAGGAAGAAAGGAACAUCCGAAUGGCAUUGUUGGCUGUGAGUUCAGUAGCUUACAUUCUUCUGGAAAAUCAAUCAAGAAGGAAGAAGUGUCAUCUGAAAAUGAAGCUUUGGAGAAGGGGGAAAAACCUAGCAGUGGUCCUUCUGAUGCUCCAAAAAUAUGUUACAAGUGUAAGAAAGCAGGUCACUUAUCUCGGGAUUGUAAGGAGCAACAAGAUGAUCUGUUGCAUAGGCAUGCAACUGGUGAAGCUGAAGAAAAUUCCAAAAUGACUGCUAUUGACACUUCCCAAGCAGACAGGGUGGCAAUGGAAGAAGAUGAUAUUCAUGAAAUAGGAGAAGAGGAGAAAGAAAAACUAAAUGACGUUGAUUACUUGACAGGGAAUCCACUUCCUAAUGACAUUCUCUUAUAUGCUGUUCCUGUCUGUGGUCCUUACAAUGCAGUUCAGUCUUACAAAUAUCGGGUGAAGAUAAUUCCUGGACCAGCAAAGAAAGGGAAAGCUGCAAAAACUGCGAUGAACUUAUUCAGCCACAUGUCAGAAGCAACAAGCCGGGAGAAGGAGUUGAUGAAAGCCUGUACAGAUCCUGAACUAGUUGCUGCAAUUAUUGGUAAUGUGAAAAUAUCAGCAGCUGGCCUUACUCAAUUGAAGCAAAAGCAAAAGAAAGGCAAAAAGAGCAGCAAACAACAGAGUUAACCAACCCAUGGAUCCAUCCUCUACAGUUUGGAAACUAACUUCACCUCAUACAAGCUUUAAUCCUAUGUCCCGGUUCGAUGCAACUCAAAUUCUAUUGUUUGUUCUCUAUUAAUAAGCCCUUGGAUUAAAACUGCAUGUCCCUGCCAUAGGAUUUACUCAGGUAUAGAAAAGUUAUUUUCUUUUUCUUAUUUUAGCUAGAGUUGAGAAAUUUGUAUGUUGUAUAUCCUUCUAUGUUCCAACAGUAGAUAGAAGUUUUCAUCAGUAAAUCUGCUGGCUAAGUGCGUAUUAACUUAUUGCACGGAAAUUUUAUACUAUCCUUUUUGGUUUUCUGCUCUUUAGUGUGAAAGACUAGGUCACAAGAUUUUUUGUUUUAGUCAAAGUAUAUGAAACCAACGGGUCAAUUAUUA